rnacentral:rRNA from 1 species
CCUACGGGCGGCAGCAGUGGGGAAUAUUGGGCAAUGGGCGCAAGCCUGACCCAGCAACGCCGCGUGAGGGAAGAAGGCUUUCGGGUUGUAAACCUCUUUUAAGAGGGAAGAGCAGAAGACGGUACCUCUUGAAUAAGCCACGGCUAACUACGUGCCAGCAGCCGCGGUAAUACGUAGGUGGCAAGUGAUGUGCGGAUUGACUGGGUGUAAAGGGCGUGCAGCGGGGAGUGCAAGUCAGAUGUGAAAUCCCGGGGCUCAACCGCGGAACUGCAUUUGAAACUGUGCCUCUUGAGUGCUGGAGAGGCAGACGGAAUUCCUGGUGUAGCGGUGAAAUGCGUAGAUAUUAGGAGGAACACCGGUGGCGAAGGCGGUCUGCUGGACAGUAACUGACGGUGAGGCGCGAAAGCGUGGGGAGCAAACAGGAUUAGAUACCCCUGUAGUC